rnacentral:lncRNA from 10 species
GGCGCCCGGUUCCCCCCCUCCGCCUGCUGCCAACAGGUCAGAGGGCACGCGGAGUCCGCGCCGCCGCACUAGCCCCCGAGGCCGCCUGCGCCAUUUUGAAUAAGGUCACCACCCGGAGUUCGCUGGGAGAAAAACUUGGUGGGGAGACGCCCUUCCCCCCCUACGCGGGACGGGAAGGAUGCAACCUGCUGGAGGAACGCGUGUAAUGCGGUGGUAAUCGCGCUGCACCACCCUAGCACUUAAUAAUUGCCUGUUAAAUGGAUGAGUGAAUUAAUUUCUAUAGUGUUACAAUACUUUCACACCCAUCGUCUGACUCCUUCCGACAGCACAGCGAGGCAGGUACGGAUCAUUCCCAUUUUGCAGGUGAGAAAUAUUGAGGCAACAUAAAGGCCUGGAAAAGGUUGCUGUACAUCAUUUUGUUGGAACUCCUGGGCUCGUGGACGGCCUGAGUUGAAAGGGACGAAGGUCUUUAUUUGCAACAUAUGGUCUACUGGGAGUCCAGCGUUCUGUGCUUGGGACAGUGGGACUCAAACCCGACUCCUUGUUCCCGAGUCUGAUGGGGAAGGUAGACACGUAGGUACAUAGUUACAACCGGUGUGAUAACGAUGAGACGACUAGGUGUUUCCAAAAAAAUAGUAUGUGCAGGAGAGGAUUUUGGAGUGGUACACAAAGGAGAAUUUUUAAAACUUAAUAAUUAUGUAUUUAAUUGUUAAAAAUGGAAUUUCCCCCCUCUUUUUGUGAAUAUACUGUAUAAUACAUGUACAUGGCACAGA